AUUGAACGCUGGCGGCAGGCUUAACACAUGCAAGUCGAACGGUAACAUAAAGAAGCUUGCUUCUUUGAUGACGAGUGGCGGACGGGUGAGUAAUGCUUGGGAAUCUGGCUUAUGGAGGGGGAUAACUACGGGAAACUGUAGCUAAUACCGCGUAGAAUCGGGAGAUGAAAGUGUGGGACCUUCGGGCCACAUGCCAUAGGAUGAGCCCAAGUGGGAUUAGGUAGUUGGUGAGGUAAAGGCUCACCAAGCCGACGAUCUCCAGCUGGUCUGAGAGGAUGACCAGCCACACUGGGACUGAGACACGGCCCAGACUCCUACGGGAGGCAGCAGUGGGGAAUAUUGCGCAAUGGGGGCAACCCUGACGCAGCCAUGCCGCGUGAAUGAAGAAGGCCUUCGGGUUGUAAAGUUCUUUCGGUACGUCGAGGAAGGCAUUUAGUUUAAUAGACUAGGUGAUUGAC
rnacentral:rRNA from 1 species